UACGUAGGGUGCAAGCGUUUGUCCGGAAUUAUUGGGCGUAAAGAGCUCGUAGGCGGCUAGUCACGUCGGAUGUGAAAACCCGAGGCUCAACCUCGGGCCUGCAUUCGAUACGGGCUGGCUAGAGUACUGCAGGGGAGACUGGAAUUCCUGGUGUAGCGGUGAAAUGCGCAGAUAUCGGGAGGAACACCCGUGGCGAAGGCGGGUCUCUGGGCCGAUACUGGACGCUGAGGAGCGAAAGCGUGGGGAGCGAACAGG
rnacentral:rRNA from 1 species